rnacentral:misc_RNA from 1 species
UCCGAGUUGACCCCGGCAGUCUCCUAUGAGUCCCCACCAUCACGUGCUGGCAACAUAGGACGAGGGUUGCGCUCGUUGCGGGACUUAACCCAACAUCUCACGACACGAGCUGACGACAGCCAUGCAGCACCUGUGCAAGCUUCCCUUGCGGGAUCGUCCCACUUUUAUGGUUCUACUACUUGCAUGUCAAGGCCAGGUAAGGUUCUUCGCGUUGCAUCGAAUUAAGCCACAUACUCCACCGCUUGUGCAGGCCCCCGUCAAUUUCUUUGAGUUUUAAUCUUGCGACCGUACUUCCCAGGCGGCUUGCUUAACGCGUUAGCUCCGCCACAAGAGGGGUCGCAAGAUUAAAACUCAAAGAAAUUGA